rnacentral:rRNA from 1 species
AUGGGUAGUAUAAGGGAUCCUUGCAAAUAUGAAUUUAGAGAUUUUCUUGCUGAUAUAACUGUGGGAGAAUCUAGGGAUAUUACACAAGCUACAAUAGGGAGCAUUCACUUUCCUGUCAUACAUUAUUUUGCUCUCUUCAUAGGUAGAUACAUAAAUGGUAAAGAUGAGGCAUGUCACGUGUGUGUCCCCAAUCUUAGUAUUCUUAGGAGUGCUGUGUUAGGAGACAAAUCAUAUAAUUUGGGAGCCAUUGUUGCACGUAGGUUGCAUCUUAAUAGACGUAAUGGAGAUUUCUUUGGUGGAAUUUAUGCAACCCGCGUAGCUAAUUUUCUUGGUAUAGAUGUGCGCAAAGAUGAUAUUGAAUUACCUCCUACCUAUCUAGAUUUUAAUGCUAUGGGUCACCACCAGUUUGUUGAGAGGAACGAAUCACCUCUCCAGUAUUGA